GAUGAACGCUGGCGGCGUGCUUAACACAUGCAAGUCGAACGGAAAGGCCCAAGCUUGCUUGGGUACUCGAGUGGCGAACGGGUGAGUAACACGUGGGUGAUCUGCCCUGCACUUCGGGAUAAGCCUGGGAAACUGGGUCUAAUACCGGAUAGGACCACAUUUUGGAUGGUGUGGUGGAAAGUUUUUCGGUGUGGGAUGAGCUCGCGGCCUAUCAGCUUGUUGGUGGGGUAAUGGCCUACCAAGGCGUCGACGGGUAGCCGGCCUGAGAGGGUGUACGGCCGCAUUGGGACUGAGAUACGGGCCAGACUCCUACGGGAGGCAGCAGGGGGGAAUAUUGCACAAUGGGCGCAAGCCUGAUGCAGCGACGCCGCGUGGGGGAUGACGGCCUUCGGGUUGUAAACUCCUUUCGCUAGGGACGAAGCGUUUUUGUGACGGUACCUGGAGAAGAAGCACCGGCUAACUACGUG
rnacentral:rRNA from 1 species